UUGCUUGGCGACCAUAGCAUUGUGGACCCACCUGAUUCCAUGCCGAACUCAGAAGUGAAACAUAAUAGCGCCGAUGGUAGUGUGGGGCUUCCCCAUGUGAGAGUAGGACAUCGCCAGGCUU
rnacentral:rRNA from 1 species